AACCCAUGGUAAGGGCACCUUAUCAAUAAGUCCUUGUAUCUAUUCCAUGCAUCAUAAAGAGUUUCUAGAUCCAUAUAUACAAUAGAAGAGAUAUCAUUCCUUAAUUU
rnacentral:snoRNA from 1 species